rnacentral:rRNA from 1 species
GACGGAGGAUGCAAGUGUUAUCCGGAAUCACUGGGCGUAAAGCGUCUGUAGGUGGUUUAAUUAAGUCAACUGUUAAAUCUUGAGGCUCAACCUCAAAAUCGCAGUCGAAACUAUUAGGCUAGAGUAUAGUAGGGGUAAAGGGAAUUUCAAGUGGAGCGGUGAAAUGCGUAGAGAUUGGAAAGAACACCGAUGGCGAAGGCACUUUACUGGGCUAUUACUAACACUCAGAGACGAAAAGCUAGGGUAGCAAAUGGGGAUUAA